rnacentral:rRNA from 1 species
AGAUUGAACGCUAGCGGGAUGCUUUACACAUGCAAGUCGAACGGCAGCGCGGACUUCGGUCUGGCGGCGAGUGGCGAACGGGUGAGUAAUAUAUCGGAACGUGCCCAGUAGCGGGGGAUAACUACGCGAAAGCGUGGCUAAUACCGCAUACGCCCUACGGGGGAAAGGGGGGAUCGCAAGACCUCUCACUAUUGGAGCGGCCGAUAUCAGAUUAGCUAGUUGGUGAGGUAAAGGCUCACCAAGGCGACGAUCUGUAGCUGGUUUGAGAGGACGACCAGCCACACUGGGACUGAGACACGGCCCAGACUCCUACGGGAGGCAGCAGUGGGGAAUUUGGACAAGUGGGGGAAACCCUGAUCCAGCCAUCCCG